rnacentral:misc_RNA from 1 species
AGCAGCCGCGGUAAUUCCAGCUCCAGUAGCGUAUAUUAAAGUUGCUGCAGUUAAAAAGCUCGUAGUUGAAUUUCGGGAUCAAUAUGUUGGUCGUGCCUCGGUACGUACUAGCUUAUUGGUUUCUCCCUUCUGACGAACCAUGAUGUCAUUUAUUUGGUGUUAUGGGAAAUCAGGACUGUUACUUUGAAAAAAUUAGAGUGUUUAAAGCAGGCUCACGCUUGAAUACAUUAGCAUGGAAUAAUGAAAUAGGACGUUUGAUUCUAUUUUGUUGGUUUCUAGGAUCGACGUAAUGAUUAAUAGGGAUAGUUGGGGGCAUUAGUAUUCAAUUGUCAGAGGUGAAAUUCUUGGAUUUAUUGAAGACUAACUACUGCGAAAGCAUUUGCCAAGGAUGUUUUCAUUAAUCAAGAACGAAAGUUAGGGGAUCGAAGACGAUCAGAUACCGUCGUAGUCUUAACCAUAAACUAUGCCGACUAGGGAUCGGAUGAUGUUAAUUUUUUAAUGACUCAUUCGGCGCCUUACG